AGUGACGAACCAACCAUUACAUUUUCCGGUUUCGCAAAUAAUUCAAGCAGCAACAUUUACCGAGGAAAAAUCGUCGUGUACAUUUUUUCGACUACACCGUGGGGUACUGAUGCCGGUCGCAUUCUAGUAACAAAAGAAUUUGAUGCUUACGACGGCGUUAUUGAACAUGGCAAAAACUUCGAGUUAAGCAUCCGUGUUCCUAGUAGCGAAGCCAAUUUAGGUGAAACAAAGGUUUCCAUAACUUUGAUUGAUGAACUUGGACUCUAUGAAGCCAAGCCGGGGCCACAAGAAAGAAUCUGCUUUGAGAUGUUCUUUACUUCUGAA